rnacentral:rRNA from 1 species
GACGAACGCUGGCGGCGUGCCUAAUACAUGCAAGUAGAACGCUGAAGAGAGGAGCUUGCUCUUCUUGGAUGAGUUGCGAACGGGUGAGUAACGCGUAGGUAACCUGCCUGGUAGCGGGGGAUAACUAUUGGAAACGAUAGCUAAUACCGCAUAAAAUUGAUUAUUGCAUGAUAAUUAAUUGAAAGAUGCAACUGCAUCACUACCAGAUGGACCUGCGUUGUAUUAGCUAGUUGGUGAGGUAACGGCUCACCAAGGCGACGAUACAUAGCCGACCUGAGAGGGUGAUCGGCCACACUGGGACUGAGACACGGCCCAGACUCCUACGGGAGGCAGCAGUAGGGAAUCGUCGGCAAUGGGGGGAACCCUGACCGAGCAACGCCGCGUGAGGGAAGAAGGUUUUCGGAUCGUAAAGCUCUGUUGUAAGAGAAGAACGGGUGUGAGAGUGGAAAGUUCACACUGUGACGGUAUCUUACCAGAAAGGGACGGCUAACUAC